AGCAGCCGCGGUAAUUCCAGCUCCAAUAGCGUAUAUUAAAGUUGUUGCAGUUAAAAGCUCGUAGUUGAACUUCGGGGUUUACCCAUUGGUCAGGCUUAAUUGUCUGUACUGGUGAGAUAAAUCUCUACCUUCUGAGGAACUUUCAUGCCAUUUAUUUGGUGUGAUUGGAAAUCAGGACCAUUACUUUGAAAAAUUGAGUGUUUAAAGCAGGCUAACGUCUGAAUAUAUUAGCAUGGAAUAAUGAAAUAGGACGGCUUGGUUCUAUUUCGUUGGUUUCUAGGAUCACCGUAAUGAUUAAUAGGGAUAGUUGGGGGCAUUAGUAUUCAAUUGUCAGAGGUGAAAUUCUUGGAUUUAUUGAAGACUAACUACUGCGAAAGCAUUUGCCAAGGAUGUUUUCAUUAAUCAAGAACGAAAGUUAGGGAUCGAAGACGAUCAGAUACCGUCGUAGUCUUAACCAUAAACUAUGCCGACUAGGGAUCGGACGAAGUUAAUUUUAUAAUGACGCGUUCGGCACCUUACG
rnacentral:misc_RNA from 1 species